ensembl:lncRNA
AUCUGAUGUUGCUAUGAUGUUGUUAUGAGUGGGUAGUGUGACCUUGAGUGCUAAUGAUGAUAACAUGGGAUGAAUAAGCCCUACUGUUCUGAAGUGCUGAAGCUUCAUCUGAGAAUGGUCUUGAGUAGAAAAAAAUUGGCAAGGACUUGAUUUCUGGGGAGGUGCCCUACAACCCCUACUCACUGUUUGAGAAGAGGAAUUUGAUAUAAUGUAAUUGUGUAGCCUAAGAUGGAAUAUAGAAGAACCAUAAAAAACAAAACAAAAAAUCAUGCAAAACUGAAAUGGAAGAAUCGUCUUUCUCGAUCAUAUAUAUAAAUUCUACAUGAGCAUAAGGAAGGCAAACAAAUCGUCUUCAAACGAUGACAGAGAGAUGCCCUUCAGAAAAAAAAUCGUGGUUAAAAUUCCUUGUUAAUCCCUGAGCAGCAAAUUGUUUGAGAUAUCUGACAGUCAUUCUCGUCUCUUCAUACUCUUCUGUACUGGAAAAACAGUUGUUCUGGAGACUGCAGUGCCAAGGCCUGUCUAGUAAUCUGUGCAGUAACAGGGAAAAUGAAUUAUUAAACUGCUUUCUUUCUUUUAGUAAACAAAUACUCAAAUGAACACUUCACCUCUUUCUUAUUUAUUUCCAUCCUCCUUCUCUCCAUUGGAUUGUGAAGUAUGGCUUGGAUCACAAGAUCACAGUGCAAUGUUCCUUGCAUGGCGUUCAGGGUGUAUGAAGGAGAAAAGGGAAGUGAAGCACAUGAUUCAAUUGCAAGUCACUAGACAUAAGGCUGCCGUUAGGUGCUGUGAUGCAGCAGCAGUUAAACUAGUCAUUCGUGAAAGAAAGGGCUAUGUGUUUGUGGUGGCAUGGCACAGAAGGCUGAGGAUAGAGUAAAAAACAGCAGCUAGCAUAAAAUUCUUCCUUUCAGAAGAUAAUCAUGCUGUGGCUCCUCAAUGAGUUUCAAACUGUUGCCUACUGUGUUGUCCGCUGUUGUUGUAUGGUUCUUAGGAGAGGAGUUAAAGAACGCUUCAGAUAGGUAGAGGCAAGGGAGAUGCUUUGGGGAAGAGUUUUGGCAGGAAUUUUUCCUUUGUUUUUUGUUCUCUUGGCCAAAAUAAGUGUUCAGGGCUUUCUUUAAACCUGAAUUGGAGAAGUAUUUUAGUGUGUGCAUAUGUGUGUGUCAGUUCUUGCAGUUUUUGAGUAAUAAAAUUCCGGUUUAAUC